AUACGUAGGGGGCGAGCGUUGUCCGGAAUGAUUGGGCGUAAAGGGCGCGUAGGCGGCGCGGAAAGUCUGGAGUGAAAGUCCUGCUUUCAAGGUGGGAAUUGCUUUGGAUACUGCCGCGCUUGAGUGCAGGAGAGGUUAUCGGAAUUCCCGGUGUAGCGGUGAAAUGCGUAGAGAUCGGGAGGAACACCAGUGGCGAAGGCGGGUAACUGGACUGCAACUGACGCUGAGGCGCGAAAGUGUGGGGAGCAAACAGGAUUAGAUACCCUGGUAGUCCACACUGUAAACGAUGAAUGCUAGGUGUAAGAGGUAUCGACCCCUUUUGUGCCGGAGUCAACACAAUAAGCAUUCCGCCUGGGGAGUACGGCCGCAAGGUUGAAACUUAAAGGAAUUGACGGGG
rnacentral:rRNA from 1 species